rnacentral:RNase_P_RNA from 3 species
UGGAUAACUGCUGAUACGAAAGUAUUAGAGGAAAGUCCAUGCUCGCACAAGCUGAGAUGCUUGUAGUGUUUGUGCUAGAUGAAUAAAUAAGUCUAGGUAUAUGGGAGCAUAUAACGGCAGAUUGAGACCUAAGUCUUAGGAUAUGGUUAAAGUCUUGAAAGUGCCACAGUGACGUAGUCUACAAGGAAACUUGGAGAGUGGAACGCGGUAAACCCCACAAGCGAGAAACCCAAAUUUGGUAGGGGAAGCAAAGAAGGAGAAUUCAAUUCGACUUUGCAUGCAUUUGCAUAGAUAAAUAGUUGUCCUCGACAGAACAUGGCUUACAA